CUUGACUAUGUAACUGGUAAAGAAUCAAAGGUAUUGUUUUAUUUUCAUUUUUAAGAAAUGAGUAGGUGGUAGAGUAUGCUAACUUGUAAAUAACCAGGAAAAUACGGCCUUUUCUUUGGGUUGAUGCUUUGUUGUCUUCUUGUUGAAGUUCUUAAGCCCAGCUUGCAGAUAGUAUUUUGAUUAUAUUGUAUUUCUUUGUGGGAGAUUUCAUUUUUCAUUUCUUUAUAACAUUCACAAGGCACAGCGAUGUUAAAGCCAUACAUUCUAUCCCACACUAGCAUUCACAUUAGUAGCAGUAUGCAAUUUCCACAAUAAAACUGGCGUAAUGAAUUCCUUUACAGGGCGCACACUUCAGGAUGUUCAGGUUUUUCCCUCUCCCUGGAUGGAGCAGUGAUCUGCUCUGCUGCAGACCUCUGGGCAGCAGGCAGGUGGACACGUCGUUUUGCACAAAACUCAGACUUCACCAGGUUCUGAUGCGGAGGCGCACGUGUGCAGGGCAGUGGGGCUGCACCCGACGGGCUGCGGUGCGGAGCGCGCUGGGUGGUGGCACGGGAGCGCCGCUCAGCAUCCUGCUGGCGGCCUUGCUGAAGAGACACACAGCAGCAUCUUUGUGGGAGGGCAGCAACCCAGGAGACGACAUCACGGUGACACACCGCGGGACUCUUCAUGCGAGCCAAUGAUGUCUUUCUAGUUGCUUCUCCCCUAAAGAAAAGUUUGUAUUUAUGACUAUGCCUCCCUCCCCCCUCUGCC
rnacentral:lncRNA from 1 species